GAUGAACGCUAGCGGCAGGCCUAAUACAUGCAAGACGAACGGUAAGUUGAGUAGCAAUACUUAGCCAAGAGUGUCGUACGGGUGCGUAACACGUAUGCAACCUACCCUAUACAGGAGGAUAGCCUAGGGAAACCUGGAUUAACCCUUCAUAGUAUUAUUGGAUGGCAUCAUUUGAUAAUUAAAACUGAGGUGGUAUAGGAUGGGCAUGCGUCUGAUUAGUUAGUUGGCGGGGUAAUGGCCCACCAAGACGAUGAUCAGUAGGGGUUCUGAGAGGAAGAUCCCCCAUACUGGCACUGAGAUACGGGCCAGACUCCUACGGGAGCAGCAGUAGGGAAUAUUGGGUCAAUGGAUGCAAGUCUGAACCAGCCAUGCCGCGUGCAGGAAGAAGGCCCUUCUGGGUUGUAAACUGCUUUUGCCAGGGGAUAAAAUUUCCAUGCGUGGAAAACUGAAGGUACCUGGUGAAUAAGCCACGGCUAACUACGUGCCAGCAGCAGC
rnacentral:rRNA from 1 species